AUACGUAGGUGACAAGCGUUAUCCGGAUUUACUGGGCGUAAAGGGCGUGUAGGCGGUCUUGCAAGUCAGAAGUGAAAUUCCUGAGCUCAACUCGGGCGCUGCUUCUGAAACUGCAGGACUUGAGUGCUGGAGGGGAUAGCGGAAUUCCUAGUGGAGCGGUAAAAUGCGCAGAUAUUAGGAAGAACACCGGUGGCGAAGGCGGCUAUCUGGACAGUAACUGACGCUGAGGCGCGAAAGCGUGGGGAGCAAACAGGAUUAGAUACCCUGGUAGUCCACGCCGUAAACGACGAAUACUAGGUGUAGGGGGUAUCGACUCCCUCUGUGCCGCAGUUAACACAAUAAGUAUUCCGCCUGGGGAGUUCGGCCGCAAGGUUGAAACUCAAAUGAAUUGACGGGG
rnacentral:rRNA from 1 species